CGGACGGGUGAGUAAUGUAUGGGGAUCUGCCUGAUGGGCGGGGGAUAACUACUGGAAACGGUAGCUAAUACCGCAUAAUGUCUACGGACCAAAGCGGGGGGACCUCCGGGCCUCGCGCCAUCAGAUGAACCCAUAUGGGAUUAGCUUGUAGGUAAGGUAACGGCUUACCUAGGCGACGAUCCCUAGCUGGUCUGAGAGGAUGAUCAGCCACACUGGGACUGAGACACGGCCCAG
rnacentral:rRNA from 1 species